GACGAACGCUGGCGGCGUGCCUAAUACAUGCAAGUCGAGCGAAGCGGCGGAUGGGUGAGUACCGCGUGGGUAACCUGCCCUUAAGUCUGGGAUACCAUUUGGAAACAGAUGCUAAUACCGGAUAUUAAAGGAUGGACCUUCGACUCAUUAGCUAGUUGGUACGGUAACGGCUUACAAAGGCGAUGAUGCAUAGCGUGGGUGAGAGACUGAUCGGCCACAUUGGGACUGAGACACGGCACAGACUCCUACGGGAGGCAGCAGUAGGGAAUCUUCCACAAUGGACGAAAGUCUGAUGGAGCAACGCCGCGUGAGUGAAGAAGGUGUUCGGAUCGUAAAGCUCUGUUGUUGGUGAAGCGGUAAUCAACCAGAAAGUCACGGCUAACUACGUGCCAGCAGCCGCGGUAAUAA
rnacentral:rRNA from 1 species